CCUAGAACACUUCUGUUCUUCUAGCUGCAGAAGAACGAGUCCUUUUAAAUGAAGUCAUCAGAAGCAGCGACAGGACAUUUCUGUGCUAUCCAAGAAAAGCAUUUAACUGAGGU